rnacentral:rRNA from 1 species
AACGAACGCUGGCGGCAUGCCUAACACAUGCAAGUCGAACGAUUGCCUUCGGGUGAUAGUGGCGCACGGGUGCGUAACGCGUGGGAAUCUGCCCUUAGGUUCGGAAUAACAGCUGGAAACGGCUGCUAAUACCGGAUGAUAUCGCGAGAUCAAAGAUUUAUCGCCUGAGGAUGAGCCCGCGUUGGAUUAGGUAGUUGGUGGGGUAAAGGCCUACCAAGCCGACGAUCCAUAGCUGGUCUGAGAGGAUGAUCAGCCACACUGGGACUGAGACACGGCCCAGGCUCCUACGGGAGGCAGCAGUGGGGAAUAUUGGACAAUGGGCGCAAGCCUGAUCCAGCAAUGCCGCGUGAGUGAUGAAGGCCCUAGGGUUGUAAAGCUCUUUUACCCGGGAAGAUAAUGACUGUACCGGGAGAAUAAGCCCCGGCUAACUCCGUG